AUGUCGGUGUCGUGCGGGCUGGAGUGCGUGCUGUGCGUGGGGUGCGUGCGCUGGAUGUGGAAGCGCCUCACCUACAUCGGCGCCUACGACAGCGAGACCUGGCCGCCCGCCUCGCCCGACGACUUCGAGCCCGUCCCGCGCAUCUGCCAGAUCAUCAUGGCCGUCUCCGACGACCUCGACAACCCCAAGCUCAUGCCGGCCACCCGCGGCUACACCCAGAUCGACGGCGCCGGCGUCCACAAGCGCACCACCUACGACGAGGUCGGCACCGCCUGCCCGCCCUACAUCGUCUACGUCGACCGCCGCCGCAACGAGGUCGUCCUCGCCGUCCGCGGCCUCAACCUCGUCCGCAACGCCGACUACAAGGUCCCGCUUCGCAUCCCCGAUUCCACCAGCCUCAUCAUAUCCGCAGGACUGGAAUGUGAACCCGUCCGAUUCCUCCGUUGGUUGCAGGUCCUGAUGGACAACAAGCUCGGGAUGCAGAUGUUCGACGGCGGCUACGUGCACCACGGGCUUCUCAAGGCGGCCCAGUUCAUACUGGAGAGGGAGACGGAGACGCUGCGGGAGCUGCUGCGCCAGCAGGGGCCCGACUGCAAGCUCAUCUUCGCGGGCCACUCGCUCGGCUCCGGCAUCGCCGCGCUCAUGACGGUGCUGGUGGUCAACAACCGCAAGGCGUUCGGCAAUAUACCCAGGAGCCACAUACGGUGCUACGCGCUCGCGCCCGCCCGGUGCAUGUCGCUCAAUCUCGCCGUCAAGUACGCCGACGUGAUCUACUCUAUCGUGCUGCAGGAUGAUUUUUUGCCAAGAACACCAACACCAUUGGAAUAUAUUUUCGGCUCUAUAUUCUGCUUGCCCUGCUUGUUAUUCCUGUUUUGCUUGAGAGAUACAUUUAAACAAGACAAGAAGAAGUUUAAAGAUCCAAGAAGAUUGUAUGCUCCUGGUCGGAUGUAUCAUAUCGUCGAGAGGAAAUUUUGCAGCUGCGCAAGAUACCCACCUGAGGUGAGAACUGCUAUUCCAGUGGAAGGGCGGUUUGAGCAUAUUGUGUUAUCGUGCAGUACCACUGCUGAUCAUGGCAUUAUUUGGAUUGAGCGAGAAUCCGCCUUGGCUUUAGAGCUAAUGAAGGAAAAGGAGAAGGCAACAACUCCGCCUGCUGAACAAAAGAUGGAGAGAUUGCAAAGUUUCAAGGAAGAACACAAGAAUGCGCUCCACAGGGCGAAAACCUUGGAUGUUCCUCACGCGAUAGACAUCUCUAAAGAGGAAACCCAUGAGGGCGCUUGCCCUGCGUCAUCUUCCGACACUCACAGCGAGACGACUUCAUCAGAACCGAAAUCUGCAGGAAGGACCAGUUGGGAUGAGCUGGUUGACAAGCUUUUCACCAGGGAUGACGAUGGGAAGCUUAUUGUGAACAGGGACAUGGUGACGAGGGACGUUGCCAUCGAGUAG
rnacentral:rRNA from 1 species